rnacentral:rRNA from 1 species
GAUGAACGCUAGCUACAGGCUUAACACAUGCAAGUCGAGGGGCAGCAUGGUCUUAGCUUGCUAAGGCCGAUGGCGACCGGCGCACGGGUGAGUAACACGUAUCCAACCUGCCGUCUACUCUUGGACAGCCUUCAGAAAGGAAGAUUAAUACAAGAUGGCAUCAUGAGUCCGCAUGUUCACAUGAUUAAAGGUAUUCCGGUAGACGAUGGGGAUGCGUUCCAUUAGAUAGUAGGCGGGGUAACGGCCCACCUAGUCUUCGAUGGAUAGGGGUUCUGAGAGGAAGGUCCCCCACAUUGGAACUGAGACACGGUCCAAACUCCUACGGGAGGCAGCAGUGAGGAAUAUUGGUCAAUGGGCGAGAGCCUGAACCAGCCAAGUAGCGUGAAGGAUGACUGCCCUAUGGGUUGUAAACUUCUUUUAUAAAGGAAUAAAGUCGGGUAUGCAUACCCGUUUGCAUGUACUUUAUGAAUAAGGAUCGGCUAACUCCGUGCCAGCAGCCGCGGUAAUACGGAGGAUCCGAGCGUUAUCCGGAUUUAUUGGGUUUAAAGGGAGCGUAGAUGGAUGUUUAAGUCAGUUGUGAAAGUUUGCGGCUCAACCGUAAAAUUGCAGUUGAUACUGGAUAUCUUGAGUGCAGUUGAGGCAGGCGGAAUUCGUGGUGUAGCGGUGAAAUGCUUAGAUAUCACGAAGAACUCCGAUUGCGAAGGCAGCCUGCUAAGCUGCAACUGACAUUGAGGCUCGAAAGUGUGGGUAUCAAACAGGAUUAGAUACCCUGGUAGUCCACACGGUAAACGAUGAAUACUCGCUGUUUGCGAUAUACAGCAAGCGGCCAAGCGAAAGCGUUAAGUAUUCCACCUGGG